rnacentral:rRNA from 1 species
UACGAAGGGGGCUAGCGUUGUUCGGAUUUACUGGGCGUAAAGCGCACGUAGGCGGAUCGUUAAGUCAGGGGUGAAAUCCCAAGGCUCAACCUUGGAACUGCCUUUGAUACUGGGGAUCUCGAGUCCGGAAGAGGUGAGUGGAACUGCGAGUGUAGAGGUGAAAUUCGUAGAUAUUCGCAAGAACACCAGUGGCGAAGGCGGCUCACUGGCCCGAUACUGACGCUGAGGCACGAAAGCGUGGGGAGCAAACAGGG